UACAGAGGGUGCGAGCGUUAAUCGGAAUUACUGGGCGUAAAGCGUGCGUAGACGGUUAUCUAAGUCGGAUGUGAAAGCCCCCGGCUCAACCGGGGAGGGUGGCUGGAAACUGGGGUUCUUGAGGGCGAGAGAGGAGGGUGGAAUUCCUGGUGUAGCGGUGAAAUGCGUAGAGAUCAGGAGGAACACCCGGGGCGAAGGCGGCCCUCUGGCUCGACCCUGACGCUGAGGCGCGAAAGCGUGGGGAGCGAACGGG
rnacentral:rRNA from 1 species